CCCUUAGAUGCUCUGGGCCGCACGCGCGCUACACUGGUCGGUGCAACGAGUUUCUUUCCUUGGCCGACAGGCCUGGGCAAUCUUUGAACAUCGAUCGUGAUCGGGAUAGAUUCUUGUAAUUUUUGAUCUUAAACGAGGAAUUCCUAGUAAACGCAAGUCAUCAGCUUGCAUUGAUUACGUCCCUGCCCUUUGUACACACCGCCCGUCGCACCUACCGAUUGAAUGGUCCGGUGAAAUCUCCGGACUGGCGUGAGUCGGAGCAAUCUGACAAACGCCGGAAAGUUGAUUAAACCUUACCAUUUAGAGGAAGGUGAAGUCGUAACA
rnacentral:rRNA from 1 species